UAGGGAAUCUUCGGCAAUGGGGGCAACCCUGACCGAGCAACGCCGCGUGAGUGAAGAAGGUUUUCGGAUCGUAAAGCUCUGUUGUAAGAGAAGAACGUGUGUGAGGGUGGAAAGUUCACACAGUGACGGUAACUUACCAGAAAGGGACGGCUAACUACGUCGCG
rnacentral:rRNA from 1 species